GACGAACGCUGGCGGCGUGCUUAACACAUGCAAGUCGAACGGAAAGGCCCUGCUUUUGUGGGGUGCUCGAGUGGCGAACGGGUGAGUAACACGUGAGUAACCUGCCCUUGACUUUGGGAUAACUUCAGGAAACUGGGGCUAAUACCGGAUAGGAGCUCCUGCUGCAUGGUGGGGGUUGGAAAGUUUCGGCGGUUGGGGAUGGACUCGCGGCUUAUCAGCUUGUUGGUGGGGUAGUGGCUUACCAAGGCUUUGACGGGUAGCCGGCCUGAGAGGGUGACCGGCCACAGUGGGACUGAGAGACGGCCCAGACUCCUACGGGAGGCAGCAGUGGGGAAUAGUGCACAAUGGGCGGAAGCCUGAUGCAGCAACGCCGCGUGCGGGAUGACGGCCUUCGGGUUGUAAACCGCUUGCGCCUGUGACGAAGCGUGAGUGACGGUAAUGGGUAAAGAAGCACCGGCUAACUACGUG
rnacentral:rRNA from 1 species